UUCCCUCCCAUAAGUGCACAGAUUCUCUCUCCACACCACGCGGCCAUUGCUGGGGGAUGGGAGAGAGGUGGUUCAGCCAUUCAAGACUGUCUUUUCCACCUUCUUCAGUGCCUCUUUCGGCAAUAUGAAGUUAAAACUAGGUCAAAAACAUCCAUUCUACUUUAAGGUAUUGAGGCAAAGAAGAGAGCCUCACUCAAGUCAUUGUGCGCCGCAGGGUUUCUCUCAGGACACGUGUGUGGGAAUCAAGAAAAACUGAACCAUCUGGUCAAGGAAUCUUGGGAAUUCUGGAAGAGCUGUGCACCCCAGGACAGGAGCUGAAAAUCUUCCUUACAUUUCAUUCUCUUUCAAAUAACCUGCAAUUUUGCAUAGUAGGCAUUCACAACUUUAACCACUUUUCAUUUGCCAUAUUCAGUCUGAUAAAUUAACUGAUUAAUGAAUCCUUUCUUCUUUCCUUCAUCCUUUCCUACCUCCUUUUCAUUCUUUCCUCCUUUAUUUCCUUCUUUGGUUUUGCUACCUGGACACUGUGCAAUGUUGAGUAAGCUACUUAGCUCUUCUAUGCUUUAGCUUCUUCUCUAAUUGAAAUAGUAAUAUUAACAUUAAUAAUAAUAAUAUAUCCUCUAGGGCUGUUGUGAUGAUUAAAUGAGUUAAUACAUCUGUAAUGCUCAAAGUAUUGCCUAUUACAAGAGCUUUAAAUGUCAUUUGUCAUUAUUAGUAGUUACUUUUCUUUCUUUGUUUUCCUUUCAUGAGAAGUAUAUAAAUCUAUUCUUGUAAAAACAUUAAAUGGAUACAGAAAUAUGUAGAGUACAAUGUCAAAGUUUCAUUUUCUUACUUCCCAUAGACACUAUCCUUGGCAGAGAUUACAACUUGAUAUAUAUAAUUUUAGUUCUCUAUCUAGAUAAUUACAUGCAUGUAUGUGUUAAACACAUACACACCCCUAUAUAUAAAUACUCACGUAUUCUUAACAUAAAAGUGAACAUAUCAUUUGUGUCUUUUUUGGCAACACCAAUAGAUCUUAGAUAUUUUUCUAUGUUAAAAUACACAGUUCUAUCAUAUACUUUUGUAGAAUAAAUGAAUUUAUCAAACAUACAUUUAUUCUUUACAAGACAUCACUCUAGGCAUUGGGGAUUUAGUGAUAAAUAAUAGAUAAAUUGCUUGCCCAUAAAAGUUUUGAUUCUAGUGAAAGAUAUGGACAAUAAAAAAUGUGGCUUAAUAUUUAAUAUAAUGUCAAGAGAAGGUAAAUUAGACAAAGAAAAUAAGAAGAGAGAAAAUAUAGAGAGGUUUGAGGCCAGGUUGAUGAGGAAAUUUCUCCCUGGGGGUAACAUUUAACCAGAGAUGCUGGAGAGAAGGAAUCAGCCCUGAGAAUGGCUGGAGAUAUGAAACGAGCAGAGGAAUGAGCAAGUGCAAAUGCCAGUGAGUUCUGAAGCAGGUGAGUGGUGGGGAAGGAGAGAAGAGAUGAGUUCAGAAAUGCAGGGACCAAAUUAUAUAGGACUGCGGUUCAAAGUAAGGAUGUUGGGUUUGAUUUUAUUUCUAUUGAAUCUCUGCCUUUCUUCUAAUGAAUGAAAAUAACAUAGCCUACUUCACCCUAAUGAUGGAAAUGUAUCUCUUUUGAAUAUUACAAUGAAAAUCCUUGCCUCAUCUUUGUGCACCUGUGGCUAUUUUUGCAAGUUGUCUUCCUGGAGUAGACUAACUGGGUUAAAAGGUGAUGAGCAUAAUGUAAAUGCUGGUAGAUGCUGUCAAAUUGCCUUAAUAAUUUUUGUAUUCC
rnacentral:lncRNA from 1 species